CUCUCAUUUUGUAAAGUUCAUCACAUGUGCAUUUGCAACACAUUGGCGGAGGCAAUACGAACUGCAUUUCUCGCUAGCUGGACAAGUCGGAAUGGCAAUGCAUCUUGGAGAACAAGACUCGAAUUGUGAAAGUCUGGUGGUUUUCGCCAAGUUUCACAGAACUUUGUUUUAUGUCAAGAUGGGCUAACACCAUGUCACCUGAUGCUGUCACUCUCUGGUUGGACUGGCAUUUCACGACCUUCGGGAUCAGCCCACAUAUGGGGAGUGCCUAAUGCCUGCUUCACUUCUGCCUCGGGUCCGCCUGAUAUUGCACUAUCUUCAGGAUCGGCCCACCGUAUGAAAAAUUGUUGGUCUAUGCGCGGAUGCGAUCCGGCAGAUCCUAGCCAUAGACAGCUUUGCUGUAAAAAAAGGUGGUCUAGCUCACGGCAAAUAGAGUCGAACAUAUUAAAAUGCGAAUAAAAAGAGAUGUUGUUAGGAACGGCCGUACGGGGUGGCAACGUUCCAGCUAUUUCAGCCCGCUGCACGUGUUCCAA